GCCGAGCUACCUAAAAUCCUCAUUUUAGGAUAAACGCAGCUUCCCUUGGGAUCAGCUCUGCCGGAAGAUAAAUUUAAAGUGUUUCACUUUGAGCUGAGAAGUGUUUGAAUCAAGAGCGGCAGCCUUGCGGACUUUUGGGGAAUGUUUGGACUUCCCAUCUGCUGUCCUUCGUAUAAACCAUCUACCCUGGAAAGCCUCUUCUGCCCGGGUGGAGCCAUCCUCAUCCUGCAGGAGCUUCUAGAGGUGGGGAAGUGCCUCUUACGCACUGAAACCAAAAUCUCUCCCAAUCCAAAAAUUAUUCAUAAUUUUUAAUAAUCGACUCCAAUUUUUACUGGACCAAUUUAUAAGUCUGCUUCUGCUUUUAUGGUGCAGAAACCACAUAAUCCUCACUAGGAGUCUACUCAGCAGAAACACAAAACAAAAAAAGAGAGCGAUUCAUUCCUACAGAAACCUUGGGGAGCCAGAAUUUGCAUUGCUGAGGAGAAAAGUAAUGAUUUAAUUGAGAAAUGCUCCGAGAAAUAAUUACUGGAAAUAAGCUGUUUCUAAAGCUCCCAAGUAUGACUUUAGGGAAGUGGCAAGGACACUGAGUGUAGUAUUCCUAUAAAAAUGGAAAUACAUGCACGAGGGAAGAGUCUCCCUGUCAUCCCCCAGGCUAACGAAAAAGAGGAAGAAGGAAUAUAUCUGUGGAGAGGCAGUAGAGAUGGUGAAAUUAUUUAUUAAAACAAUUAAAAAUUCUGCUGUGUUCAUUCCCCAGUCACCGAAAUCUUUUAAUCAGUGCCCCUGGAUCCCUGGCAGUGUCCAAGGCCAGGCUGGACGGGGCUUGGAGCAGCCUGGGAUAGUGGGAGGUGUCCCUGCCAUGGCAGGGGUGGAUUGGGAUGAGCUCUAAGGUCCCUUCCAACCCAAACCAGUCUGGGAUUUUAUCAUUUUGUGAAUUAUUUUCUACAUGUUUAGAAGGAAAGCUGAAACCCAGAGCGUGGACUUGGCCCACUUUGGAGUGUGGUUCCACUGAAUGGGUCACUCAUGGAAUCAGGGAAUCUCCUGAGCAGGAAGGAACCCACAGGUUUGGGGAAAAACGCUGCCCCAGUUUUGUCCUGAUGUGAAGAAACCUGUUGUGGCAAAUUGCACUAAUUCAGAGCUCGGCUUAAUACACUGAAAUGGAGCUAAAAGCUUUGGAGAGAAGCACAGAGGAGCCUCGUGUGCCUCCACAGUGCCUCAAACCUUCUUUCCAGGAGCUGGUUAGGCCCAAAUGUCACUUCAGGCUGACUUGAGGCGUUUUGGUGCUUUGGAUACGAAGAGUUUUUGUGUGUUAGGUGUGGGCUUGGAGAGUGUGGCUGUUCCUUCUUUCAGCUGGCAGCUAAGGAAAUCCAUUUUAUGGAAUCCCCUGAGCUGGAAGAGACCCACAGGAUCAUGGAUGCAGCUCCAGGUCCUGCACAGACCCCCCAAAAUCCCACCCUGGGCAUCCCUGGGAGUGGGAUCCAAACUCUCCUGGAGCUGUGGCAGCCUUGGGAAUUCCCUGGGGAGCCUGGGCAGUGCCCAGCACCCUCUGGGGGAAGAACCUUUCCCUGAAACCCACCCAAAACAUGCCCGGACACAGCUCCGGCCAUUCCCUCAGUGCUGUCCCCGUCACAGGGAGCUGUCACUGCUGCACGGAGUGCCCUGUCCCGUGUCACACCAGGCCCACACGGCAGAGUUCAGUUCAGUUUUAUUUUCCACUGUAACGGGUUUCGAAUGAUACAUCAUGCAGUCUGCCAGUGUAUCCAUCCAUCUCCGACAGAACUUCCGCACGAAGAUAAAACACUUCUCUCCACGGGCUGGGGGGAGGAGGAGGGUUCGGGUCUGCUAAUCAAAAGUUUAGUACAGUCCAGCAUCAUCUGAUGCAAUGGCAAAAAAAAAAAAAAAAAAAAAAAAAUUCCCCUUGUUACCAGCAAAACGUGUCCACCAUUUAUUUUUUUUUUUUGGUUCGUUUGUUUUUUGUUUUUUUUCUCCUAAAUUGAACACUACUGUAAAGAUACACAGAGCCCAGAGAAUACACAUCUGCAGCACACGUUACACACUUUACAGACUAGACAGGGAUAAAUCUACAGAGCGCCGUGGGAGCGGUGCUGCCGUCCCGCACAGCGGACGGCGCCGGCGCGGGUCCUACAGGCACAGUGAGACAAAAGUCAAAGCAAGGGGAGAUUCAGAUUAUCCUGCCCUUUUGUUUCCCUUUGAUUCACCUCCCCUGCCCCGUGGAGGAGUAAUUCAGUCGUGGUUAUGUGAGGUAUUGCUCCUCCAGCAACGGGAAUCUGGUGAGCCCUUGUCUUUUGGACCUUCAUCACCGUUUUUUUUAAACAGUUCUUCCAAUAAAACCAUGUUCAAAUGAAAAUUCUUGAUUUUGGUUAUUUUCAAGCCGUAGAGCAGAGUUAGGUGGGGUAUUGGGAAGGAAUCCUGGAGGGUGGGCAGGCCCUGGCACAGGGUGCCCAGAGCAGCUGUGGCUGCCCCUGGAUCCUGGAAGUGUCCAAGGCCAGGCUGGAUGGGCUUGGAGCAGCCUGGGACAGUGGGAGGUGUCCCUGCCAUGGCAGGGGCUGGAAUCAGCAGAACUUUAAAAUCCCUUCCAACCAAACCAUUCCAUGAUCCUUUAAUUUAUAAAGAUUUCAGGCAAAUGUGCAUCUUAGUCCAUGAGGCUUUAUAAAGUGAAAUUGAAAAGCUACUCAAGGCUCUGUGGGCAGGGAGUGCUGUGGCAAAAUCUUUUUGGUGACUUAUUUUUAAGUAUCUUCAGGAUAAUCCAAAUCUCACCCUUGUUGAGUUUAAUACAAAACUUAAAAAUGCAUCAGCCAAGGUCUUUCCAAGCUUAAAACUUUCCUUGCUUUCCAGAAAACAAGUCAGUGAAACAUGAACUCAAAGACAAACACAAGAUAUUUGAACAUAUCAUUAAGAGAAGCUCAAGUGAGCCAGAAAUACUUUUUAAUUACUAGCAAAAAGAACAAUAUGCACUUUAGUUCCAUCUGAAAUCCAUUUUCCAUUCGGGAAUGGCAUUUCCACCCGAAUUUGUCCCAUGCAUGACAUUUCUAGAUGUGAAAUUUCAUUUGCGCUGUACAAACCACGACUUUAAAGAUGAGCCUGGAAUAAACAGAACACAACACUCAAAGAGCAAAGAAAGGAAGAUGGGGUCAGGAAACAGCAAGAGACAGGUUCUGCUCUCUGCAGAGCAGAGGUGUGGUUUUCCUUUCCAGGUAUAAAAUGUGAAAGCCUUAAAAAUGGUACAAAAGUUGAAUAUACAACACGCGAUACAAACUGAAGUCGCCUAAUUAAAAUAGGCUUCAAAAAUAAAAACUGAUACAAGCAGAGUAUGUUCAACUGAGAAUUCAUUCACCCUUUCCAAUUGUUAAAUAUCUCAGGUAUUCAAUUUUGAGGAUUUUAGCCUAAGGCAUCUUUGGGGCAUUGCUGAAGGUGCUCCUGCAGCGUUGGUGUGAAAGGGAACUUGGAGAAACUUCCUGGCUUUGCUGCUGGUGGCACUGACUGGCUGAUCAGCACCAGCACGAGGAAGAGGUGUCCGAGUUCCCUUCCCCCUGCAGCUGCAGGCAGCUGGCAGAACUGUCCCCAAAAAUCUCCCGGUGAUGCCUUGAGGAACCCAGACCUUUCUGCUGCGUUUACAGUAGAAUUCCGUACCAAACUCUGAGAGACACAACAAAAAGUUUGCCUACAGUACAAAAAAAUCGACAGCAAAUAAGCUUGGGAUCGUUUCCUAGAACCAAAACAAGAGGAUUUUUAAUUCCUAGUAGAAACCUCAGCUCUGACCAGCUGGUAAGGUAGCACAGAGUAGUUCUGAGUUAGUGAUUUUAUUAAAGAUUGCAUAUGGCGAGUUCACAGUUCAUUCUUCUGGCAGUGCACAUGCACGUAACGAAAGAAAAUAUAAAACUUUGGAAAAUACAAAAUAAAUUAAAUACAUGCAAAUCUGCAACUUCAUUAAAUAAGUUUAGCAAAAUGCUCCCCCAAAAUAGUGCAACAUUAAAAAAAAAACCCAAAAAACCAAAAAAAAACCCCAAAACUUAAAUUAAGUUCAACUUACUUUGCAACACCCUAAUUUCAGUAGAAAAAAAUAUCUAAAGUCAACUCACAAUCUUCCAAAACUCUCUACAGAACUAAAGAGUUCUACACCUACACAUUCAGAAAUUAAAAAAAAAAAAAAUCCCAAUCAAUCUCAAAGAAGAACAAACGCCUGCAAAAGAAGACCAGAGGGCUACACUUGGCCGGAGCCUUCCUGGAAUUCCAGCCUCCUGGAGCCUCCCUGGAAUCCCGGCUCCCUGUGGUCCCACCUGCCCAGGAGAUGUGGAGGGAGGAGGAGGAGGAGGAGCAGCACCUUCUGCCUGCCAGCAGAACCUUCCCGGAGCACUCGCAGUGCCCCCUUGCUGGGAAGAUGGAAAUUUGCUGUCUGAGACAUCCAAAAAGAUCCAAGGAACGCUUUUUCUUCCUUUUGCUUCCAGAGGAUGAGUGGAUAGAGUGGCUGAGAAAGACAUUCCCUUUCCCUGGCAUUGGCUCCUCACACCCCAGCAAAAAAAAUCCCAAAUUUGGUCUGCAAAGGUCGGCUCGAGUGUACAACUCUCACCUCCUUUGGGAUUUUUUUUAAGGAAGGGUUUGGAGGAUUUUAUUUUCCUUUGUUCUGGUAGGGGACUGUUCCCUCUGGGAUCUGAAUUCCGGUGUGAACGGAUCAGGGCUUUUCUGGGGAAAGGGGGAGGGGGGAGAUGCUUGCUGGAUUUUCCAAGGCAAGAUUUCCACAGCAUUUUGAAAUCCUUCAAAAAUUCCUAGGGAACGACUCUUACAAACACGUGGCUAAGCCAUCCCACUCCAGGAAAACCCACCACUGUAGGGAGAACUACAAGGAAACAGGAGCUUAAUUUUAAAACAGGUCACACAGAUAAAUUCAUGGAACUACCCAACUUCAAAUCCUAGGUCUAUACUAACAGAUUUCUCUGCAUCCCGUUUGUUCUUUACCAGGUACUGCAAUAAAGGUUAUUUUAUACAGUCCAAAGAUUUUUUUUUUUUUUUAAAUCAGGAUAUUACAAAUGGUUCCUUGGGGAAAUUUCCUUCCGAAAAUGUUAAGCAGUAAAAUUAAACCACAUAGCAGCACAUUUUCAUCCCCUAAAAAUAUAAAACAAUAUGUAUAUUAUACAGGAAAUCAGUCAUGACAGAGCACAAUCACCUGCCUUCGAUGGCACUUGGUCAUUGAAUAAUUAAUUCCUUGAUGCCAGAAGUCGGGAAUUACCGAUGCCAACGGAGGAAAAGAAAAAGAAAGCAUCACUCUGAGUGGAGAAGCCCCAACCUAAGCAGCGCCGAGGGGUGGUGGAAUUCGGAGUGGCAGACUCCCUAUCAUCCUUUCUGAGGUGGGAAUGUUCCAGA